UAGAACAUAUUAGGUAUAACUCCAUAUUUCUCAUUUCACUGUUAUUUCAUUUUUUUGGUGAAAACCAUUGGUUCUCUACAGGAAAUUCCAGAAGCUGUGAAUGCUGGGAAGUGCCCAGGAAGGUGAAGAAGAUGCUUGAGUAAUCUGGAAUGAGUGCUGCCACACUUUAUACCUGGAUACUUAACCCCUCCAUCUCAGAUGUAGCCAUACCCACCAAAGGAAAAAUACCUCCUUUUCUGAUCCUCUUAGCCAUGGAAGCAGGUUUGGCUGUGAGAUUUAGACCCCUUUUCUUCACAAAGUUUGUGAGAAGAGCUGGUCUGGAGAGGAUAGACCACAUCUCAAGGAGAAGGGUGAACAGAGUCUCUCCUAUGCCCUUUGCCUCCUGGACCCAAUGGGAGUGCCACAUCAAUUUCUGGUUUGCUUCAGAGAUGUCCAUAAGUAUAGACAAUUUUAGCAAGGAACAUGGAACUCUCUCCUCCUGAUAUUUCACGUAUAUGAGGGUAAGUGUAGUCAAUGAAUAUUGUGUUUAAAGGGCAGUUUCAGUUUAAAGGAGU